CUUCACCGACCCCAGCCACAGCGGCCGGUCCCGGUCCCGCCCGUAGGUGGCCAGCAGCGCCCCGGCCUC
rnacentral:antisense_RNA from 1 species